GGCAGUGGAGAAGGCAAUUUAGUGUAAAUCAAUACUGUCCUCUCUUGGGUCAUGUGGGUCCUUUGUAUUCUACUAUGAAACAUACCACUGACCAUGUUUUGCCUCUU